GCAGGUCAGUUGAGUUUGGGACAGUCUCGAUUGAUAGGAAAGCCACAGGAGCUCAAUGUCUCUCUCAUACACAGGAAAUGACCUUGUGGCCUCCACUUCUGACCACCAUUUGCACGCCAACCACAGCAGAGCCUCCUAAGUUCUCCUCCACUAAUGAGGAGACAUGUGGAUUCCAGAUUCUCAAAGCUAAUGAAUCAUCAGACAAGUUCAAGUUCAGCUGGAAUCUCAAGGCGUUUCCAGCAGCUCCUGUGAUACUGGCAGCCUUUUUGAAACAGGCAGUGAAAAGAGCAGCAUCCCAGAUGAACCAGCAGAUCCUGAGUCAUUACACAGACAGCCACAGAAAGAGAGUGACUGGCAGUUAGGACGAUGGUUAGAAAGAAGGGAUCACCAGCAGAACCCUAGGAGCCCAUGUGAUGUCAUUAGGCCAAACUCCUCUGAAAGGACUUAUUCACAGAGUUGCCAUAGUGACCCGACUGAUGGCGGCAAAGCGUCUGAUCAGAUUGUGGGGAGCAAAAACAUGUGUGGGGAUCCACUGAGAUCUCUCAGCGUGCUGAAAAUACAUCCACACACACAGCAAAACACAAGAGAAAGAAAACGGCUCAUCACACAGAGCAGAAGAGAAGGACAACAGACAACAAAAUCAGCAAACACACACGUCAGCCGCUGCUGGUGAAGAUAGAGCUGAACCAGAAUCCCUCAGGAGCCCAAACCAGCUCCAGCUUCCUCUGAGAGCAACACCUCUUCAGGACGCAAGAGAACGGUGGAGAGGGAUGAAAAGUCUUCAAAGAAGAAACAGAAACUGGACAAAGAGGGAAAACAUUCUUCCUUCUCUCAGCAAAGCCUCCACCAAUCAGAAGACACAACGAGGAAGAAGAAGAGUGUGAAACACAGCUCAGAUCUUCUUCAGGAGUCACACAAAGACUCGGGACGCCAGCAGAAGAAAGCAGACACUCAUGGGAAGGUACUGCAGACAUCCUCAUUUCUGAGUGCUUGUGGGGUUUCUGCU